rnacentral:rRNA from 1 species
AGUCGAGCGGACCGACGGGAGCUUGCUCCCUUAGGUCAGCGGCGGACGGGUGAGUAACACGUGGGUAACCUGCCUGUAAGACUGGGAUAACUCCGGGAAACCGGGGCUAAUACCGGAUGCUUGAUUGAACCGCAUGGUUCAAUCAUAAAAGGUGGCUUUUAGCUACCACUUACAGAUGGACCCGCGGCGCAUUAGCUAGUUGGUGAGGUAACGGCUCACCAAGGCGACGAUGCGUAGCCGACCUGAGAGGGUGAUCGGCCACACUGGGACUGAGACACGGCCCAGACUCCUACGGGAGGCAGCAGUAGGGAAUCUUCCGCAAUGGACGAAAGUCUGACGGAGCAACGCCGCGUGAGUGAUGAAGGUUUUCGGAUCGUAAAACUCUGUUGUUAGGGAAGAACAAGUACCGUUCGAAUAGGGCGGUACCUUGACGGUACCUAACCAGAAAGCCACGGCUAACUACGUGCCAGCAGCCGCGGUAAUACGUAGGUGGCAAGCGUUGUCCGGAAUUAUUGGGCGUAAAGCGCGCGCAGGCGGUUUCUUAAGUCUGAUGUGAAAGCCCCCGGCUCAACCGGGGAGGGUCAUUGGAAACUGGGGAACUUGAGUGCAGAAGAGGAGAGUGCAAUUCCACGUGUAGCGGUGAAAUGCGUAGAGAUGUGGAGGAACACCAGUGGCGAAGGCCACUCUCUGGUUUGUAACUGACGCUGAGGCGCGAAGC